UGGCCCCAGAAAUCAAGGAUGGGUGAGACCUCGUGUGCAAACUGAAAGGCGACCCAUACUUGGUUUCAGGGGCUU
rfam:Sarcophilus harrisii ctg7180002219409, whole genome shotgun sequence.